rnacentral:rRNA from 1 species
GCUAUAGGGGGACGCAGGAAGGUAGAUGAACCCGGUGAAUGGUAGAACCGGGGUAAGCGUGUAGGAGGAGGACCAGGCAAAUCCGGGCCUCACAUACUCUGAGACGUGAUACCGAGCCGCUUCAGGCGAAGUCAUUAAUCCUAUGCUGCCUAGAAAAGCCCAGUAGCGAGUUGACAUGGUGCCCGUACCCCAAACCAACACAGGUGGACAGGUAGAGCAUACCAAGGCGAGUGGGAUAACUAUGGUUAAGGAACUCGGCAAAUUUCCUCCGUAACUUCGGGAUAAGGAGGACCCCGGUAGCGUGACGAGACUUGCUCUCCGAGCGUGAAGGGGUGGCACAAAAUUGAGGGAAGCGACUGUUUACCAAAAACACAGCAGCGUGCUAAGCCGUAAGGCGCUGUAUACGCUGUGACUCCUGCCCGGUGCUGGAAGGUUACGGGGAUGGGUUAGUCCUUCGGGACGAAGCUCUGAACCUAAGCCCCAGUAAACGGCGGCCGUAACUAUAACGGUCCUAAGGUAGCGAAAUUCCUUGUCGGGUAAGUUCCGACCUGCACGAAUGGAGUAACGACUUCCCUACUGUCUCAACCAUAGACCCAGCGAAAUUAAAGUACGAGUAAAGAUGCUCGUUAGCUGCAGAAGGACGGAAAGACCCCGUGGACCUUUACUAUAACUUGAUGUUGUGUUUUGUCAUAUGUUGUGUAGGAUAGGUGGGAGACAAGGAAGCAUGGACGCUAGUCUGUGUGGAGUCAUCGUUGAAAUACCACCCUGCAUAUGGUGAGGCUCUAACCUAGACCCGUUAUCCGGGUUGGGGACAGCGUCAGGCGGGUAGUUUAACUGGGGCGGUUGCCUCCUAAAGAGUAACGGAGGCGCCCAAAGGUUCCCUCAGCCUGGUUGGCAAUCAGGCGUCGAGUGCAAUGGCAAAAGGGAGCUUGACUGCGAGACCUACAAGUCGAGCAGGAGCGAAAGCUGGGCAUAGUGAUCCGGCGGUUGCGUGUGGUAGCGCCGUCGCUCAACGGAUAAAAGGUACCCCGGGGAUAACAGGCUAAUCUUGCCCAAGCGUCCAUAGCGACGGCAAGGUUUGGCACCUCGAUGUCGGCUCAUCGCAUCCUGGGGCUGAAGCAGGUCCCAAGGGUUGGGCUGUUCGCCCAUUAAAGCGGUACGCGAGCUGGGUUCAGAACGUCGUGAGACAGUUCGGUCCCUAUCCUCUGUAGCCGUAGGUGAAUUGAGGAAAGCUGUCCCUAGUACGAGAGGACCGGGACGGACGCAGCUCUCGUGUGCCAGUUGUCCUGCCAAGGGCAUGGCUGGUUAGCGACCUGCGGAAAGGAUAACCGCUGAAAGCAUCUAAGCGGGAAGCCUCUUCCAAGAUGAAUUCACCCACAGGGUUAACCUGGUAAGGCCCGUGGUAGACCACCACGUUGAUAGGCCGGAAGUGUAAGCGUGGCAACACGUUCAGCUGACCGGUACUAAUCGGCCGAGGGCUUGAAUUC